UACGGGGGGAGCAAGCGUUGUUCGGAUUUACUGGGCGUAAAGGGCGCGUAGGCGGCGCAACAAGUCACUUGUGAAAUCUCCGGGCUUAACUCGGAGCGGUCAAGUGAUACUGUCGUGCUAGAGUGCGGAAGGGGCUACUGGAAUUCUCGGUGUAGCGGUGAAAUGCGUAGAUAUCGAGAGGAACACCUGCGGCGAAGGCGGGUAGCUGGGCCGACACUGACGCUGGAUGCGCGAAAGCCAGGGGAGCGAACGGG
rnacentral:rRNA from 1 species